AUUGAACGCUGGCGGCAGGCCUAACACAUGCAAGUCGAACGAGUGGCGGACGGGUGAGUAAUGUCUGGGAAACUGCCUGAUGGAGGGGGAUCACUACUGGAAACGGUAGCUAAUACCGCAUACCAUCAGAUGUGCCCAGAUGGGAUUAGCUUGUUGGUGGGGUAACGGGUCACCAAGGCGACGAUCCCUAGCUGGUCUGAGAGGAUGACCAGCAACACGGGAACUGAGACACGGUCCAGAGGACUACGGGAGGCAGCAGAGGGGAAUAGGGGACAAUGGGGGAAAGCCUGAUGCAGCAAUGCCGCGUGUAUGAAGAAGGCGUGGGGGGUGUAAAGUACGGUCAGCGGGGAGGCGUUACCGGCAGAAGAAGCACCGGCUAACUCCGUGCCAGCAGCCGCGGUAAUAC
rnacentral:rRNA from 1 species